rnacentral:tRNA from 1 species
GGAUUAGCCUCGAUGGUUCGGGGGAUAGACUUCAAAUCUAUCGCGGCCUAGACAGCCGAGUGGUUCAAUUCCACAUUC